rnacentral:rRNA from 1 species
GUGCCAGCCGCCGCGGUAAGACGUAGGAGGCGAGCGUUAUCCGGAUUCACUGGGCGUAAAGCGCAUGUAGGCGGUUGGACAAGUCGUGUGUUAAAGCCCCUGGCUCAACUGGGGGAGGUCAUGCGAGACUGUGCGACUUGAGGGCAAGAGAGGCACGUGGAACUCCCGGUGUAGCGGUGGAAUGCGUAGAGAUCGGGAAGAACACCAGUGGCGAAGGCGACGUGCUGGGUUGCACCUGACGCUGAGAUGCGAAAGUGUGGGGAGCAAACGGGAUUAGAUACCCCGGUAGUCCACACUGUAAACGAUGAACCCUAGGUGUGGGAGGGAAUACCUUCCGUGCCGAAGCCAACGCGUUAAGGGUUCCGCCUGGGGACUAUGAGCGCAAGCUUAAA